rnacentral:rRNA from 1 species
AACGAACGCUGGCGGCAUGCCUAACACAUGCAAGUCGAACGAGACCUUCGGGUCUAGUGGCGCACGGGUGCGUAACGCGUGGGAACCUGCCUUUAGGUUCGGAAUAACUCAGAGAAAUUUGAGCUAAUACCGGAUAAUGUCUUCGGACCAAAGAUUUAUCGCCUUUAGAUGGGCCCGCGUUGGAUUAGCUAGUUGGUGGGGUAAAGCCUACCAAGGCGACGAUCCAUAGCUGGUCUAGAGAGGAUGAUCAGCCACACUGGGACUGAGACACGGCCCAGACUCCUACGGGAGGCAGCGAGUGGGGAAUAUUGGACAAUGGGCGAAAGACCUGAUCCAGCAAU